GGUCGCAGACGCAAUAGACGAUGAUGCCGGAGAAGACGGCCCCCAUGACAAAAGCCAGGAUGACCGCAAUGGCCAAGAGGGUGACGGGGACGAGCUGGUCAUGGCCUUUGAGAUUUAUCUUCGUGAACUUUUAAGGGGGUAGAAACGGAGAAGCAAAAAACAGCAGGGGAUUCAGCUAUAACUCACACCUUUUAUAUCGUGGAGCUCCCCAAACGGUGAGGUGCCUUGCAUUCAAAUCUGUUUUAAUACCUAGUCACAGAGGAACUGUGCUAAUGAAAAUUUCUUCCUUAAAUUUGCAUUUCCUUGUUGUAAUGCUGAAAUAGCAACUGAUUUUCUUUCAGUUUUGAUUAUGUUUGGUGUUCUAUUGAACAUCAUUUUUAACCACCUACAUACAAUGGCACAAAAAUGUACACCUGUGAAUAAAAUGAGUUUGAUUUCCCUCA